GGUCAGGGAUGCUUGGAGAACACCUCACACCGGUCCUCAAGAUCUUUCCUGAGAUCCUCUAAGGCUUGAAGACAUCUAAUUCCAAUUGAAGUAACUGCAUGGGGAAAAACAAGAGCAGCAACAACAAACAGCUUCACUCUUCUGGGUGGAAACAUGCAGUUGUACCAAGAGAGGCCGGUUCUCCUUCUCUCACAUAGCACUGAACAGAUGAGGAUAAGCUGACACCCCAACUGAUGAUCCCCAGGCUGAAAGGAAUGGGUAGCCUGGCUGUGAUUUUUGGAUACGUGGCACACUUCAAGAUUACUGUGUUGUUCAAAUUAACCUGUUGGAAUGCACCUUUCCUCGACGACAUUUCCUUGAACUCCGAAUGAGAGCAGUGCAGGAGGAUCCCCAACUUAAGGACUGGCUGUAUUUCAAAGGUCAUCUCUAAGUCUGAAUGUUUCCACAAGAUAAAAAAUUCCAAGAUAUUCUUAAGUCCAAUAUUAUAAAUAGUUAUUAGUU